GAGAGUUAUUAGAGCAUUCUAUUAUGACACCAACAUCCGACCAAAUACAGAAUUUUAAACAGACCCAUAUCAUGGCCCAUAGAAACAUUUGGAUUUUAAUAUGUGCUUUUACGAUAUUAUCAACGGUAUAUAAUUCACAUGCCGCCAUUUUGAGACCAGAUUGGUAUCCAUAUUUUCAAGAUUUAAAUCCAGAAUCUAAUUCUAAUGAAAUACUUAGAGUGAGACAAACCAGAACACUUCCACAACAUGUAAAAUGUCCACCGGAUAUGACGAAAUAUGAAUGCUAUCACGAAUUAAUGGCCGUCUGGACACGGGUUUUAAAGAAUAAAAGAAAUGUAUAUGAAUAGUCUGAAGACGAACUCUUAAUUUUUUCCUGAAAACCAAAGUUAAAUUGCGUUAUGUGUAUUUACAAAUGAUUAGAUUUAUUUUUACCUGCAAGCAAUAUUCAAUGAGCUCUAUAAACAAAUCAUGUAAUCAUAUAAUUAUCAUAAAUUGCUAAAGUAAAAUUGUUUGGAAUGUUUAACGUGUUCUUUUAUUUGCUAUAAUUUCAA